CCCGUCCUUUGGGAAACCCUCCUCAGGAGCGAGUGGGCUCCUCUGCCAAGCGUGUGCAAUCAUAGAGCCUCUCCUCUUGGCUACCACCACCAGUCUUCCAUCCUCUUCCACCCACACAUGUUCAUUUAAGGAUGGGUGUGUGACCAAGACAGAAGACUUCCCUGGAAUUAUUACAUAAAGAGGGAUAGAUAAGCAUUCUAUUUCCUGUGGGGAAGGUUUGCCCUCACUAGUAGACAAUGAAGCCAAACUGAAGACAGAAACAAAGAUAAGAGAAAGAAGAGGGCAUAUUCUGAUGUUCCCACAAUAGCAAACCAGGAGGUCCCUGGAGCAGCCGGGGUUCCUGCAGCUUCUGGAUUCUAGGAUCUACCCCCAGCAUCCUCUGAAUUUAAACCGUCCAUUGUCUCUGUUUCUCUGUCAUGCUCUGCCCUGGAAGGCUGACAUGAAUACAUCACCAGGCUUCCUUGCCCUGUAGCUUCCUGUUGAGUUGGACCAGUACAAAGCAUUGGCAGAAAAUCAAAAGGAGGGAGAAAGGAAAUAUCAGGACAGAAGGUGGCCAUCUGCCAACCAGGAAGAGACUUCUUACCUGGAACCAAAUCUGCUGGCAUCUUGAUUUUGGACUCCCCAGCCUCCAGAACUUCCUCAGGUGCCUUGACCAGGAUGAUCCUUCUCACAUUCUGCAGAAUAUCCUGGUGGUCCACUCUACAGAUGACAUCAUUCUCAUUGACCUGAAGCACACCCUGAGACAAGUAUUCAAGAGCAAGUAGUUUAUUUGGGAGGAAAUACCAGAAGAAAUUGAUGGGAUGAGGAGAAGUGAGCCCAGGAAAGGAAGAAAAUAAUAGAGUAUGCUUUCAAGCAAGUUACCACUGUGGCCAACUGGAGCAUAAUCCACUAGGGAACUUGGGGUCAAGGUGAAGAACACACUUCAGAGUUGUCUCAACCAAGGUUAAGAAGCUGG
rnacentral:lncRNA from 1 species